rnacentral:rRNA from 1 species
UUGCUCAAUGGGGGAAACCCUGAAGCAGCAACGCCGCGUGAGGGAUGAAGGGGCUUUGCCUCGUAAACCUCUGUAGUUGGGGACAAAUGUAGGGUUACUACCCUAUUUGAUGGUACCCAAAAAGUAAGGAUCGGCUAACUACGUGCCAGCAGCCGCGGUAAUACGUAGGAUCCGAGCGUUGUCCGGAUUUACUGGGUGUAAAGGGUGCGCAGGCGGACUGAUAAGUCAGAGGUGAAAUCUCGUCGCUCAACGACGAAACUGCCUUUGAUACUAUCAGUCUUGAGUUCGGUAGAGAUCUGUGGAAUUCCGAGUGUAGCAGUGAAAUGUGUAGAUAUUCGGAAGAACACCAGUGGCGAAGGCAGCAGAUUGGGCCGAUACUGACGCUCAGGCACGAAAGCAUGGGGAUCAAACAGGAUUAGAUACCCUGGUAGUCCAUGCCCUAAACGAUGUACACUUGAUAUCUGCCCUCAGGGUAGGUGUCGGAGCUAACGCGUUAAGUGUACCACCUGGGGAGUACGCUCGCAAGGGUGAAACUCAAAGGAAUUGGCGGGGGCCCGCACAAGCAGUGGAGUAUGUGGUUUAAUUCGAUGCAACGCGAAAAACCUUACCUAGGCUUGAAAUGCUCUCUAAAGCAGCGAAAGCUGUGUACCCGCAAGGGGGGGAGUACAGGUGCUGCAUGGCUGUCGUCAGCUCGUGCCGUGAGGUGUUUGGUUAAGUCCAGCAACGAGCGCAACCCUUAGAAUUAGUUGCCAGCGAGUAAUGUCGGGAACUCUAAUUCGACUGCCUACGCAAGUAGUGAGGAAGGUGGGGACGACGUCAAGUCAUCAUGGCCCUUACGCCUAGGGCUACACACGUACUACAAUGGCGACUACAAUGGGCUGCAAUACCGCGAGGUGGAGCGAAUCCUAUAAAAGUCGUCUCAGUUCAGAUCGGAGUCUGCAACCCGACUCCGUGAAGUUGGAAUUGCUAGUAAUCGUAGAUCAGCAUGCUACGGUGAAUACGUUCCCGGGCCUUGUACACACCGCCCGUCAAGCCAUGAAAGCCGGGGGUACCCAAAGCCGCCUCAUAAGCGUCUAAGGUAAAACCGGUGAUUGGGGCUAAGUCGUAACAAGGUAACCGUA